CAAAAUAGGGCUCCAUGCGUCAAGUGUUCACCGGAUGGGGAGUUGCCGUGAAACGAAAAGCUCGUCUUACGAUAUGGAGCCUGCACCCGUUG
rnacentral:ncRNA from 1 species